rnacentral:misc_RNA from 1 species
AGAAGAUUGUGGUGGAGAUGAAAUAGUAGGGUUAGUACUGUUAUUAUUAUCUGACAGUACUAACCCUACAUUUUGUUGUUCAGGAGUGGCCGCGGCAGCCGCGGCUACUCUCUGAAUGGCUUUAGGAGAGAGAGUUGUACAAGUGUGAUGAUCAAUGUGAUGAUAGAAAGUAGAGUUGAAAGGGAAGUUGAGAUUUGAGGAAGCAGAGGGGCCUUUUAGGCAUAAAAGUGCAGCAUCAUAGGCUCUAGCUGCAGCUUCAGGGGUAGAAUAGGAACCUAACCAGAUUCUUGUUUUUUGAUUGGGUGCUCUUAUUUCUGAUACCCAUGAUCCCCAGCUUCUCAUUCUAACUCCUUUGUACUUGUUCUUCUUUGUCUUCAUGUUAUUGUUAUUGCUUGUUGCUAUUGAUGAUAUUGACAUUGAUAGACUUUUUUGCUCUGUCUUCACCAUUGCUUGAAUCUUGAAAAAAAUUGUGUUAGUUGUACUGUUUGCUUAUUUUUCUUUCUUUUUUUUGUGUGUGUUUA